rnacentral:rRNA from 1 species
CACGUAGGGGCCAAGCGUUGUCCGGAUUUAUUGGGCGUAAAGAGCUCGUAGGCGGCUUGUCACGUCGGGUGUGAAAGCCCGGGGCUUAACCCCGGGUCUGCAUUCGAUACGGGCUAGCUAGAGUGUGGUAGGGGAGAUCGGAAUUCCCAGUGUAGCGGUGAAAUGCGUAGAUAUUGGGAGGAACACCAGUGGCGAAGGCGGCUCACUGGACCGGUUCUGACGCUGAGGCGCGAAAGCGUGGGGAGCAAACGGG